GCACGUGUGAUGUGAACAAAAGAGUAUGAGAAGCUGUGAUACUGUAAACGCUUUCUGAUGUG
rnacentral:snoRNA from 1 species